rnacentral:rRNA from 1 species
ACUGAACAUUGAGCCUUGAUGUGUAGGAUAGGUGGGAGGCUUUGAAGUGUGGACGCCAGUCUGCAUGGAGCCGACCUUGAAAUACCACCCUUUAAUGUUUGAUGUUCUAACGUGGACCCGUAAUCCGGGUUGCGGACAGUGUCUGGUGGGUAGUUUGACUGGGGCGGUCUCCUCCUAAAGAGUAACGGAGGAGCACGAAGGUUGGCUAAUCCUGGUCGGACAUCAGGAGGUUAGUGCAAUGGCAUAAGCCAGCUUGACUGCGAGCGUGACGGCGCGAGCAGGUGCGAAAGCAGGUCAUAGUGAUCCGGUGGUUCUGAAUGGAAGGGCCAUCGCUCAACGGAUAAAAGGUACUCCGGGGAUAACAGGCUGAUACCGCCCAAGAGUUCAUAUCGACGGCGGUGUUUGGCACCUCGAUGUCGGCUCAUCACAUCCUGGGGCUGAAGUAGGUCCCAAGGGUAUGGCUGUUCGCCAUUUAAAGUGGUACGCGAGCUGGGUUUAGAACGUCGUGAGACAGUUCGGUCCCUAUCUGCCGUGGGCGCUGGAGAACUGAGGGGGGCUGCUCCUAGUACGAGAGGACCGGAGUGGACGCAUCACUGGUGUUCGGGUUGUCAUGCCAAUGGCACUGCCCGGUAGCUAAAUGCGGAAGAGAUAAGUGCUGAAAGCAUCUAAGCACGAAACUUGCCCCGAGAUGAGUUCUCCCUGAGACUUAGAGUCUCCUGAAGGAACGUUGAAGACGACGACGUUGAUAGGCCGGGUGUGUAAGCGCAGCGAUGCGUUGAGCUAACCGGUACUAAUGAACCGUGAGGCUUAACCUUACAA